CCUACGGGUGGCUGCAGUGGGGAAUAUUGGACAAUGGGCGAAAGCCUGAUCCAGCCAUGCCGCGUGUGUGAAGAAGGCCUUCGGGUUGUAAAGCACUUUCAGUGGGGAAGAAAGCCUUGGGGCGAAUACCCUCGAGGAAGGACAUCACCCACAGAAGAAGCACCGGCUAACUCCGUGCCAGCAGCCGCGGUAAUACGGAGGGUGCGAGCGUUAAUCGGAAUUACUGGGCGUAAAGCGCGCGUAGGCGGUCUGAUAAGCCGGUUGUGAAAGCCCCGGGCUCAACCUGGGAACGGCAUCCGGAACUGUCAGGCUAGAGUGCAGGAGAGGAAGGUAGAAUUCCCGGUGUAGCGGUGAAAUGCGUAGAGAUCGGGAGGAAUACCAGUGGCGAAGGCGGCUUUCUGGACUGACACUGACGCUGAGGCGCGAAAGCGUGGGUAGCAAACAGGAUUAGAUACCCCAGUAGUC
rnacentral:rRNA from 1 species